rnacentral:rRNA from 1 species
CCUACGGGGGGCAGCAGUGAGGAAUAUUGGUCAAUGGACGAGAGUCUGAACCAGCCAAGUCGCGUGAAGGAUGACUGCCCUAUGGGUUGUAAACUUCUUUUAUCAAGGAAUAAAACGAGGCACGUGUGCCUUUUUGCAUGUACCUUAUGAAUAAGGAUCGGCUAACUCCGUGCCAGCAGCCGCGGUAAUACGGAGGAUCCGAGCGUUAUCCGGAUUUAUUGGGUUUAAAGGGAGCGUAGGUGGGUUGUUAAGUCAGUUGUUAAAGUUUGCGGCUCAACCGUUAAAUUGCAUUUGAUACUGGCAGUCUUGAGUAGAGUAGAGGUAGGCGGAAUGCGUGGUGUAGCGGUGAAAUGCUUAGAUAUCACGAAGAACCCCGAUUGCGAAGGCAGCGUACUAAAGUGUGACUGACAUUGAUGCUCGAAAGUGUGGGUAUCGAACAGGAUUAGAUACCCCAGUAGUC